rnacentral:rRNA from 1 species
GGGUUGUGAGGUUAAGCGACUAAGCGUACACGGUGGAUGCCCUGGCAGUCAGAGGCGAUGAAGGGCGUGCUAAUCUGCGAUAAGCGCCGGUAAGGUGAUAUGAACCGUUAUAACCGGCGAUACCCGAAUGGGGAAACCCAGUGUGACUCGUCACACUAUCAUUAACUGAAUCCAUAGGUUAAUGAGGCGAACCGGGGGAACUGAAACAUCUAAGUACCCCGAGGAAAAGAAAUCAACCGAGAUUCCCCCAGUAGCGGCGAGCGAACGGGGAGGAGCCCAGAGCCUGAAUCAGCAUGUGUGUUAGUGGAAGCGUCUGGAAAGGCGCGCGAUACAGGGUGACAGCCCCGUACACAAAAGCGCAUGUGCUGUGAGCUCGAUGAGUAGGGCGGGACACGUGGUAUCCUGUCUGAAUAUGGGGGGACCAUCCUCCAAGGCUAAAUACUCCUGACUGACCGAUAGUGAACCAGUACCGUGAGGGAAAGGCGAAAAGAACCCCGGCGAGGGGAGUGAAAAAGAACCUGAAACCGUGUACGUACAAGCAGU